CUUGAUGCCUUCAAAAGCCAGGAAACUUAAUCCUGGCCUUAUGUUUCUUUCUUCGUGCCCAAAAGGCAGCCAAGCUCGUCACUAAACCAAGGGAGGUGAAGCAGGUCACUAAGUUUAUAAUGUAGUUGUUCAAAAUCAGUUUGCCCUGGCAUGGAUUUGAGAGUUGGACCAUUGGAAGGUUGAAUGCUGAAGAACUGAUACUUUCAAACUGUGGUGCUAGAGAAGACUCUUGAGAGUCCGUUGGACAGCAAGGAGAUCAAACCAGUCAAUCUGAAAGGAAAUCAACCCUGAAUAUCCAUUGGAAGGACUGAUGUUGAAGCUGAAGCUCCAAUACUUUGGCCACCUGAUACAAAGAGCGGACUUAUUGGGAAAGACCCGGAUGCUGGGAAAGAUUGAAGGCAAAAGGAGAAGUGGGUGGCAGAGGAUGAGAUGGUUGGAUGGCAUCACCGACUCCACGGACAUAAGUUUGAGCAGACUCUGAGACAUGGUGAAGAGGGGGAAGCCUGGUGUGCUGCAGUCCAUGGGGUCUCAAAGAGUCAGACACAACUGAGCAACUGAACAAUAGAACAUUUUGGACUGGCGAUCAGCAGAUAUAAGUUCUGAUCUGGGCUUGGAAUCUUCUGGCUUUGCAGCUUCUAGGGAGCAACUGCCCUCAGCUUUGAUUUCCCCACACCAAAGCUUCUGUGAGUCCAAGGUCAAGGGACUGUGAUCUGGAGGCACCAUGAAGAGGUGAUGCUCAUCUUUGUGCAAGAAAGAAGACUUCUGUGCACUUGAAACUAGCUGCUCUGUUUGCCCCUCCCCUCCUUGAGAAAACUCAUGCUAUUUUUCAAAGAUUCUGAAAGCAUUUCAGGUCGUUUAUGGCAACAUUUGCCUAACAACAGCGGUCAUUCUCAGCUUAGAUUUUUCUUAAACCAGUUGCAGUAGGAGAGUAUAUUUUGAUUGGCAGGGAUAGAAGGGAGAAAUUAUAUGCAUUUACUUGUACUCAGUCGUGUCUGAGACUCUUUGCAACCCCCUGGACUAUAGCCCGCCAGACCCCUCUGUCCAUGGAAUUCUCCAGGCAAGAAUAUUGGAGUGGGUCACAAUUUCCUUCUCCACAUUUACUCAAGAAGCAUAUCCUAAAUAACAGCUUCAGAAAAAGCCGCUGUGUGAAAUAAAUAUGGAGGCUAACGGUGGAAAAUGGCAGAGGGGAUGGACUUGGAGGAAGAGCAAAGUAUCCCUCGGAGGGUAUAUAACAGAGAAGGAAGGACAGCUGGCAGCCGUGAAUAGAAGGUGCCUCUCCUGCUCCCGCAGUGACUCCUGGCGUGCUCCCUGAUAAGCGCUUUGUUACACAGGCGGUGAGAUGGCAUUAGCUUGCCAGCUCCAGAAUACACGUUCUUGGCCCUUGGCUUGCCCGUGAGUCUGUGAGACAUUGGAGGAGCUGGUGGUGGGCAGGGGCAGGUUUGCUGGGGCAAAAGGAAAGGUGUUUAAUGAGCGUUGGCCUUAUUUGAGUAGAAUACAAAGCAGCAUCUCUAUGAAGAGUAAAGUGUUAGUCGCUCAGUCGUGUCUGACUCUUGGUGACCGCAUGCACUGUAGCCUGCCAGGCUCCUCUGUCUAUGGG
ensembl:lncRNA